GACGAACGCUGGCGGCGUGCUUAACACAUGCAAGUCGAACGAAGUGGCGAACGGGUGAGUAAUACGUGGGUAACCUGCCCUCCUUUUUGGGAUAAGCCUUGGAAACGGGGUCUAAUACCGAAUAAAGGGGGAUGGGCUCGCGGCCUAUCAGCUUGUUGGUGGGGUGUUGGCCUACCACGGCGGUGACGGGUAGCCGGCCUGAGAGGGUGACCGGGUACAUUGGGACUGAGAUACGGUCCAGACGUCUACGGGAGGAAGCAGUGGGGGAGAUCGCACAAUGGGCGAAAGCCUGAUGCAGCGACGCCGCGUGGGGGAUGAAGGAUUUCGGGUUGUAAACCUCUUUCGCUACCGAAAGGGUAGGUGGAGAAGAAGCUACGGCUAACUACGUGCCAGCCGCCGCGGUAAUUC
rnacentral:rRNA from 1 species